GGCUCAGGAUGAACGCUAGCGGCAGGCUUAAUACAUGCAAGUCGUGGGGCAGCAUGAGUAGCAAUACUUGAUGGCGACCGGCAAACGGGUGAGGAACACGUACACAACCUUCCUUCAAGCGGGGAAUAGCCCAGAGAAAUUUGGAUUAAACCCCAUAAUAUAUUUGAUAAGGCAUCUUAUUAAUAUUAAAGCUUCGGCACUUGAUGAUGGGUGUGCGGCUGAUUAGAUAGUUGGCGGGGUAACGGCCCACCAAGUCUACGAUCAGUAGCUGAUGUGAGAGCAUGAUCAGCCACACGGGCACUGAGACACGGGCCCGACUCCUACGGGAGGCAGCAGUAAGGAAUAUUGGACAAUGGACGAAAGUCUGAUCCAGCCAUGCCGCGUGAAGGAUUAAGGUCCUCUGGAUUGUAAACUUCUUUAUAUGGGACGAAAAAGGGCAUUCUUGUUCACUUGACGGUACCAUAUGAAUAAGCACCGGCUAACUCCGUG
rnacentral:rRNA from 1 species